GUAAUUAUUACAUUGUUACUGACGCUGACUGCAAUUACAAGAGGUUUUUAUUUUGUCCUAUUGGCAGGCAAGCCCACCAAGGAAACAAGUAGUACGCAAAAGACAUGGGUAGAAUCAGAAAGGACUGAGUCAGUGAACCAAGCCGAAGCCCAGAGCGCUGGCAUCAACCCCCUGAUGAAAGGGUAAUGAUCCUUCCGCAGGUUCACCUACGGAAA
rnacentral:misc_RNA from 1 species